CUCCGGUGCCAGGGCCCCCCUCAGCCGCCUCCCGCUCCCCGGCAGCGCAUCGGCCCGUCCCAGCGGACUAGGGAACCUCACGGCUGCUCCGGGCCCGAAGGAUUUAAAGCGGAUUGAAGUGAUGUGGAGAGCCCUGUGUGCCCUGGUGGUACGGGGGAUGUAAUCAGGAGGCAAGGAGAAGCAAAGGAGGAGAGUAUUGCCUCAUCUUCUGCUCACAACAAGCCCAGGCCACCUGGCAUAGGAGGGGUAUGGGCAUAGCAGAGAGCAUGUGAAUCACCCUGGACGUGCAGCUCAGUGCAGAGAUCUCUGGAGUAAUCACCCCACCUUCCCAUCCUGAGCUGCAGAACUCAACAUGUAUAAGUCAGUAUUCGCAAAGAUACCAUCCCAGCAUGGAAAGAUUGUCAGCUGCAUCUUAGCUUUGGGACAAACCUGCUCACAAAGAGACCAGUGGAAGUCACUCUUUUUGCGAAUUUCAGGUGAGCUUUAGAUGGGUCAGAUCCCAGAGUUCCUGUGCCCAUCUUUAGCAGGAAAUCACCCACUCUCCAAUAAAAGCUUCAGAUUUCUUUUUUGGCACAUGACAAGCAGAGCAUCCGCCGUGCUUUACACAACCACCCUACUUCCUUUCACAUUAAGCUGUAAA